CUUAAUUAUAACCAGGAGACACUUAGGGGCUGAGCAGUGAAAAGGAAAGAUGCUCCCCGUCUUGGGCUGUGGAAUGUUCAUUUAUAGAAGGAACCCAUGUCUAGUUGGUUUGGUCUGGUUUCUCAUUCCAUCACCCCAUAAGGCAGCCUUCCAAGGUUUUCUGGACUCUGGAAGAAAAUAAAAACGAGAGUAUUCUUGGCGAAAAGAUCCCCAAUCAAGGCAGAUUCAAGGAUUUCAAUAUGUGGGUAGACUGGGCUUUCUGUUAAUAGGCAACUACUAAAAAUAGAAAUAAUUUGGAAUUUCUUUGAAGGGAGGCCAUUUCUACCAGCCCUCAUUUGAACAAAUCUGUCAAGUGAGGCAGGGUAUAUAAUAAACUAUAGGCAUGCUAGCUGUCCUCAAAAAACUUAAGUAUAUUAGCAGUGCUAAGUCAUAUACACAUGAAGAGAGAUGAAAGAAGACCGUCAACUAUUAGCCGCCAAUUUGGCAUAGCCAUAUGAGCUGUAGGAAUUUAGAAGAGAAAGAGGGACAUUUUAAGUUAAGUAAUUGGGAUAGCAUUCAGGGAGGAAAGGUGAUACAACCCAGGCUUUGAAAAAUGGUUGGAACUACAAUAUGUUUCUGGGUGAGAAUUGUUUGAAUGAACAAUGGCGCUGAUUGGUGUUUUUACAAUGAUUUGGUGCAAAAUAGUUUGUUUUGAGCAAAGGGGCCUAGAAAGUUAAGUCUGGACAUAAGUUCCCAUGUAUGCAUGGGCCUUCAACACCAGCUAGGGAACUGGCCUGGGUCUGCAGAGCACCAGAGAAAUAUGAGUGUUUUUAGUGGAAUUAGAAUGGCUUUCGAGGUCUGUUCCCUUCAUCUGAUGAAAAUAAAAGGCAAAACAAUAUUCUCAACAGGUAAGAGCAACAGGUAAGACUGCCAUUUGAUUCUUCUUCGGUUUUGACAUCUGUGCUAUGGGAAAGAAGCAUGAAUAACACAGUGUCUGGCACAUGGAAGGACAACAAAUAUUGCUGGAUGUUUAGAACCAAAGUACAGUCAUUUCCUAAUGCAGAUGAAGGAGAUCUGAAGUUACCUCAGUCUCUCAAGGGUCAGCAAUGAGUAAUUUGAAGAGGACCAGGUUAGGAGUUAUGUGAACUUGUGCAUUUAACUUCACCUUCUUGGGUUUAUGUUGCCUCACCUGAAAUAAUGGGGUUAAGUUUUAUCAGUGGGCUCUAAUUGGAAGAAGUUUUUUUGUUUGUUUUAGAGAGAGAUGCCAUACAUUGUUUUGUCAGAUACUCAGAGGGGUUUUUGAUCGAACCUGUGAAUUACAUUCCUUUUUAGUUAUAAGAGGUGUGAUUCUGAGACCCAAGGAUGAUUUUCCUGCCUGGAAAGACAAGUGGGACUCCUGCCACCACUGCCCUGCCAAUCCCAUCACCUGUAGAGGCAUACCUCAGAGCUACUGCAUGUUUGGUUCAAGACCACCACAAUAAAGCAAAUAUUGCAACAGGUCAACUAAUAGUGUAACCAGAAUUUCUUCAAUGAAUGGAACCAAUAAAGAAAGAAAAAGAAGACAUUCUGUUUUUCUCAGUUCCCCUGACAGACACUGUCAGGUAAGUACACUGCAUCAGUCUGAAAGGCUGAAACAGUGGCCAACUCCUGAAGUGACCUUCCAGGCAGAUCUACAUAUACCCCCUGAUAUUUGGAGGACAAGGAGCUCAUUGCUCACCUUGGCAGCUUCACGGUACAGCAGGAACAUAGGCUGCCAUCCCCACAUCCACCUGCUGUCGGGCUGGGGGAUGGAAGAUGGUAACUUCUCUGUAAAAUGUAAAAUCCACCAAAUUUUUCAGCCUCUUACAUUAUUAAGACUCCAGAUUUCCCAAAGAGCUGGUUCCAACUAUUAGUGCCUUUCCAAUAGUAUUUUUUUCCCAGGGUUAGGACUGGUUCCUGGAGUUUCCUAGUCCAUCAUCUUCCAAGACACCACUCUGUUGUCUUUUAAAAUUACCAUUACUGUUGCUCUUUGUUGUUGUUGGUUUUUUUUUGGUUGUUUGUUUGUUUGUUUUUGUGUGUGUAAAUUAACAUCACUGUCUGAUACCAAUUCUUUUCAGCCUAAAGAACUUCCUUUAGAAUUUCUUAUUAUUAAGUGAUAGGCAGGUCUACUAUCAACACAUUCUCUCAGCUUU